AUUGAACGCUGGCGGCAGGCCUAACACAUGCAAGUCGAACGAGUGGCGGACGGGUGAGUAAUGUCUGGGAAACUGCCUGAUGGAGGGGGAUAACUACUGGAAACGGUAGCUACUACCGCAUACCAUCAGAUGUGCCCAGGUGGGCUUAGCUAGGUGGGGGGGUAACGGCUAACCAAGGCGACGAUCCCUAGCUGGUCUGAGAGGAGGACCAGCCACACUGGAACUGAGACACGGCCCAGACUCCUACGGGAGGCAGCAGUGGGGAAUAUUGGACAAUGGGCGAAAGCCUGAUGCAGCCAUGCCGCGUGUAUGAAGAAGGCCUUCGGGUUGUAAAGUACUUUCAGCGGGGAGGCGUUACCUGCAGAAGAAGCACCGGCUAACUCCGUGCCAGCAGCCGCGGUAAUAC
rnacentral:rRNA from 1 species